CCAACCAUUCGUGGAGGAGGAUGCCGAAGGCAGGACUGGUGACUGGGGUGAAGUCGUAACAAGGUAGCCGUACCGGAAGGUGUGGCUGGAUCACCUCCUUUUUAGGGAGACCUACACCCCUUACAUAUUGAAAAGCAAACAGCUAUAUAGAUAGUAAGUUGGUCUAACCUAGGUCGGUCGCAGUCAUUUGCAAAAGUAGAAAGCUUUCAAACUAUGAUUUGGUUCGUUUUUGGGCUAUUAGCUCAGGUGGUUAGAGCGCACCCCUGAUAAGGGUGAGGUCCCUGGUUCGAGUCCAGGAUGGCCCACCUGAAGAAGAGUUUUGAGUGAGAAGUUAAAAGUGAGGAAUAAAAAACUCAUAACUAUUAACUGCUAAUCCAUAACUUUUUGUCUGGGGGUUUAGCUCAGUUGGUAGAGCGCCUGCUUUGCAAGCAGGAUGUCAGCGGUUCGAGUCCGCUAACCUCCACCUGAUGGUGAUUACCAAGAUUGAAAAAUUUGUGAGAGUUCAGCAACAUGACUUAUAUAGAGUCAGACUGCUGAGGUAAUUCUCAGCCAGAACCUUGAAAACUGCAUAGUAACGCGAAAAUAGCAGGCAGACACAGACAUUAUUUAUGAUGUUGUGAAUGCAAAUGUGAAAAGGCCAAAAUAUU
rnacentral:misc_RNA from 1 species